rnacentral:rRNA from 1 species
AGUGAACGCUGGCGGUAGGCCUAACACAUGCAAGUCGAACGGCAGCACAGUAAGAGCUUGCUCUUACGGGUGGCGAGUGGCGGACGGGUGAGGAAUACAUCGGAAUCUACUUUUUCGUGGGGGAUAACGUAGGGAAACUUACGCUAAUACCGCAUACGACCUACGGGUGAAAGCAGGUGAUCUUCGGACCUUGCGCGAUUGAAUGAGCCGAUGUCGGAUUAGCUAGUUGGCGGGGUAAAGGCCCACCAAGGCGACGAUCCGUAGCUGGUCUGAGAGGAUGAUCAGCCACACUGGAACUGAGACACGGUCCAGACUCCUACGGGAGGCAGCAGUGGGGAAUAUUGGACAAUGGGGGCAAGCCUGAUCCAGCCAUACCGCGUGGGUGAAGAAGGCCUUCGGGUUGUAAAGCCCUUUUGUUGGGAAAGAAAAGCAGCAGGUUAAUACCCCGCUGUUCUGACGGUACCCAAAGAAUAAGCACCGGCUAACUUCGUG